CAGGUCCCCAGCCCCCGCCACCCCGGUGCCGACCCCUCUCACCCUUCCAUUCUGUGUCCGGGGCCUGGCGCAGGCCGGCGAAUCCCCGGCCUCACAUCAGAGAGGCGCUGGCAAUGGACUAGGAAGCUCGGCUGCCGCUGCUACUGCUCCCCACUAGGCUCCGGCAAGAGCCUUUCCCUGUCAAGCAAGAGGGGUGAGGAUCAUAUUUUUAUUUUGGAAACUAAAAAGUGCUCCCAGGGUCGGUGAUUAUUAAGGGGAAAUCCCUGAAUAUACUCUCCAGCCAAGAAGGCAGGGCUGCCGGGGCUGCACAAGAAGAGGCAGCAGCCUCCUACAGCACCACUACAGGCACUGCGAGGACAUAACACCAGAGAGCCGCUCCUCUGCCCUCCGAAACGACAACUUUCCUACCAUCUUGGAGGCAGAGGAAAGGGGGGCCAGGGGGAAAAGUGCACCCGCUCCCGACAAAGUACAAAUUUCUACUUCUCAUCUCUGGAAAAAAGUCCACACCGGCCGUCUACAGCAGCGCCUGGGGGAGAAAGCAGGGAAGAAACUGGGGGUGCUUGAGAAACGUUUUCAUUUGCACCAGGGGGAAAAAUGUUUCUGCAUCUUCUGAUGGAAAGAAAUCUUUACAAGACCCAGGUUUUCCGGUGAUUAUUGUUUUCUGUUUUCUGUUUUUUCCAUGUUAGUGACGGUGGUAUUUUAAUUUUUUUUUCAGGCUUCUAAUGAUUUUUCUCCGUUACAGAUGUAAGUUCUGUGUCUGGUGGUCAGGUUAUAAAUUUGUACUUAAACAGACUUCAUAGCCACUUUGUCUUUGUCUAUCUAUUUAGUUAUAUGUUUUUGUACAUAUAGAUAUGUUUUCCUUAUAUAUAAAAUGUUGUGUUAAAUAUUCCCCUCACAACUGAGAUUGCUGAAAGACAAUUGUAAAGGAUGUCUUUUGUCUCCUUUUCUCAAAGCAGUAUAAAUAAAACCUAUUGACUGUCCAGAAA